GACGAACGCUGGCGGCGCGCUUAACACAUGCAAGUCGAACGGAAAGGCCUGCUUUCCCUUGUGGAUUGCGGGUACUCGAGUGGCGAACGGGUGAGUAACACGUGAGUGAUCUGCCCCCAACUUGGGUAUAAGCCUGGGAAACUGGGUCUAAUUCCCGAUAGGACUGCAGGGUGGUGCCUGUGGUGGAAAACGAUUUUCUAGUGGUUGGGGAUGAGCUCGCGGCCUAUCAGCUUGUUGGUGGGGUAAUGGCCUACCAAGGCGGCGACGGGUAGCCGGCCUGGGAGGGUGGACGGCCACAUUGGAACUGAGAUACGGCCCAGACUCCUACGGGAAGCAGCAGUGGGGAAUAUUGCACAAUGGGCGGAAGCCUGAUGCAGCGACGCCGCGUGGGGGAUGACGGCCUUCGGGUUGUAAACUCCUUUCGACCGCGAGGAAGCCACCUGGUUGGAAGGGUGGUGACGGUAGUGGUAGAAGAAGCACCGGCUAACUACGUG
rnacentral:rRNA from 1 species